CCAGUAGAGAGUCUGUUCUUGACUGACAGAACUUACAUGGCUGAGUACUUCAAGCAAAUGGAUUGCCAGGUAAUAUUCCACCCAGGGACCUGCACCUACACUGUGGAACAGAAAGACCCACAAAAGCCCUGUUUUAACUAAGUAGACACUGUGAACAUACUUCUGCUGGGCUCAGCACUCCCAGCCUGAAGGAUAUUUGUAAGCCAGGCUAUUCUCUAGUCACUUCUCAUAAUCUGUGAUUACAUAGCCCUACCUAAUAGUGUUUUAAAAAC
rnacentral:lncRNA from 1 species